rnacentral:rRNA from 1 species
AGUGAACGCUGGCGGCAGGCCUAACACAUGCAAGUCGAACGGCAGCACAGAGGAGCUUGCUCCUUGGGUGGCGAGUGGCGGACGGGUGAGGAAUACAUCGGAAUCUGCCUAUUUGUGGGGGAUAACGUAGGGAAACUUACGCUAAUACCGCAUACGACCUACGGGUGAAAGCCGGGGACCUUCGGGCCUGGCGCAGAUAGAUGAGCCGAUGUCGGAUUAGCUAGUUGGCGGGGUAAAGGCCCACCAAGGCGACGAUCCGUAGCUGGUCUGAGAGGAUGAUCAGCCACACUGGAACUGAGACACGGUCCAGACUCCUACGGGAGGCAGCAGUGGGGAAUAUUGGACAAUGGGCGCAAGCCUGAUCCAGCCAUGCCGCGUGGGUGAAGAAGGCCUUCGGGUUGUAAAGCCCUUUUGUUGGGAAAGAAAAGCAGUCGGUUAAUACCCGAUUGUUCUGACGGUACCCAAAGAAUAAGCACCGGCUAACUUCGUGCCAGCCGCCGCAGUAA